CCUACGGGUGGCAGCAGUCGAGAAUCAUUCACAAUGGGGGAAACCCUGAUGGUGCGACGCCGCGUGGGGGAAUGAAGGUCUUCGGAUUGUAAACCCCUGUCAUGUGGGAGCAAAUUAAAAAGAUAGUACCACAAGAGGAAGAGACGGCUAACUCUGUGCCAGCAGCCGCGGUAAUACAGAGGUCUCAAGCGUUGUUCGGAAUCACUGGGCGUAAGGCGUGCGUAGGCGGUUUCGUAAGUCGUGUGUGAAAGGCGCGGGCUCAACCCGCGGACGGCACAUGAUACUGCGAGACUUGAGUAAUGGAGGGGGAGCCGGAAUUCUCGGUGUAGCAGUGAAAUGCGUAGAUAUCGAGAGGAACACUCAUGGCGAAGGCAGGUUCCUGGACAUUAGCUGACGCUGAGGCACGAAGGCCAGGGGAGCGAAAGGGAUUAGAUAUCCUUGUAGUC
rnacentral:rRNA from 1 species